rnacentral:rRNA from 1 species
GUACACGCUGUGACUAGCAUAUCAAUAAGCGGAGGAAAAGAAACUAACAAGGAUUCCCUUAGUAACGGCGAGUGAAGCGGGAAGAGCUCAAAUUUGAAAUCUUGAGAGGUCACCUUUCACGAAUUGUAGUUUAAAGAAGUGUUUUCUGUUACGAUCGUAAUAUAAGUUCUUUGGAAUAGGACAUCACAGAGGGUGAGAAUCCCGUCUAUGAUUGCGAUUUGUAGCUUUGUGAUACACUUUCAAAGAGUCGGGUUGUUUGGGAAUGCAGCCCAAAACGGGAGGUAAAUUUCUUCUAAGGCUAAAUAUUGGCGAGAGGACCGAUAGCGAACAAGUACCGUGAGGGAAAGAUGAAAAGAACUUUGAAAAGAGAGUUAGAUAGUACGUGAAAUUGUCAAAAGGGAAGCGUUUAACACCAGUGUUGUUUUCUGAAAAUCAACCUCUGUUAGCUUUAUGCAUGUUUGUUUAGACCUAAUCAGCUAUCUUUCAUGUUCUAUUGUUUGCAGUGGUGCACUUUUCAGUUUACAGGUCAACAUCAGUUUUUUUUACCGUAAAAAAGUUAAAGAAAGGUAGCUCAUGGCUCCGGUCGUGAGUGUUAUAGUCUUUUUCCUAUGCGGUAGGAGAGACUGAGGUCUGCAGUGUAGGCUAUUUGGCUAGAUACUCAGGUGCUAUGUGAUACCAUUUCAUAAACAACUUGUUGAUUAUGUUUUGUCUAUUGCAUACUCGCUUGUACUAUCAUACCUACGCUUAGGAUGUUGAGUAGCGACAUACGCAC